UUUCCCUGCCCACAACAGGUUUACAGUCUAGAGGACGAGCCAUAUUGUUUCUAGAAGUUCUUGUACUAUCAUCCCACCCUCCGCCCCACGGCACUUACGUACAUAUCUACAAAUUAUUCAUUUUUAUCUUCCUCUCUGGACUGUAAACUUGUUGUGGGCAGGGAAU
rnacentral:pre_miRNA from 1 species